UACGUAGGUGGCAAGCGUUGUCCGGAUUUACUGGGCGUAAAGAGCGCGCAGGCGGUCGGCCAAGUCGAAUGUGAAAGCCCCCGGCUCAACUGGGGAGGGUCAUUCGAUACUGUUCGACUCGAAGGCAGGAGAGGGAAGUGGAAUUCCGGGUGUAGUGGUGAAAUGCGUAGAUAUCCGGAGGAAUACCAAAGGCGAAGGCAGUGUCCUGGAGGGUUAACUGACGCUGAGGCGCGAAAGCUAGGGGAGCGAACAGG
rnacentral:rRNA from 1 species